GAUGAACGCUAGCGGCAGGCCUAACACAUGCAAGUCGAGGGGCAGCACGUCUUCGGAUGGUGGCGACCGGCGCACGGGUGCGUAACGCGUAUGCAACCUACCUCUUACAGUGGGAUAGCCCAGAGAAAUUUGGAUUAAUACCGCAUAGUAUACAGAUUCAGCAUUGGGACUGUAUUAAACAUUUAUGGGUAAGAGAUGGGCAUGCGUUCUAUUAGUUAGUUGGAGUGGUAACGGCACCCAAGACAGCGAUAGAUAGGGCCCGUGAGAGGGGAGUCCCCACACUGGUACUGAGACACGGACCAGACUCCUACGGAGGCAGCAGUGAGGAAUAUUGGACAAUGGCGAGAGCCUGAUCCAGCCAUGCCGCGUGCAGGAAGACGGCCCCUUAUGGGUUGUAAAACUGC
rnacentral:rRNA from 1 species